UUGCCUUAAACUAAUGAGUAAGGAAAAUAACAGAUCCCAGUGACGCGGGAUCCCACGAAUUUUAACGUGAUGUAAUUUUUGAGGGGAGACAGGCCACCCCUGGGUGACCCACCUACUUUAGUGGGAUGCCCUUGUGUUUGUGGUCUCCAAUUCCC